ensembl:lncRNA
UUUAAAAAUGUGAAGUGCAUUUCAUUUUCUCUUAUUGAAUACGAAUGUUUACACAGGAGGGUCGGGGACAUUGCUCACACCCCCUCCCCCCGACUUCUCCUAAAAAACCUGCCCAUUCAGUGCGCGGAAUAAUGUCCCUGUCACCGAGGGCGCUCUAACCCGGUCACAACGUUGAGAAGUUGAGCACGGUUUUUUCCUGCGUUGCUAUGGUUUUCUAAAAAGCUAUUGACUGCGAUAGGGUCCCUUUUCUCUCGACGUCUUUGUGGAGGAGGAAACCCUUUUACUUUUAACUGGGGGGCGCGAUAGCAUCCAGACGCAGGCAUUCCUCAUUCCCCAUCCCACCAAUCGCACCCACGGAGCCGUAAGCAUCCAGCGGUCGAGAGACAGAAAAAAAAAAAUCAACUUUGGCUUUACUCGACGUGAGUUGCGUUUACUGAGACAUGACGCUGAACAAGAACCCAGGAUCUGUGGCACUUCUCUGCCUGCUAAUCUCUGCCCAGGCCUUUCCUCUCACUGCUGCCAUGGAUAUCCCCCUGGAGGUUUUAGAGCAAGCCAACAGUAAGUUCUCUAGUUGGUAUUCAUUUAGUAAAAUCACCGGCCCUGUGUUAAUAUCCUGGCUGGGUAAUGCCCACAGCAGCAGUCAGUCACCUUUCCCAUCGUCCAGUGUUAAUUUAUCACCUCAUGUCUCAUCGUUUUGUACUUUAUAACACCAUCACCUCUAGGAUUACAUGGCUAGAUUUCUUUUUUUGUCAUCACUAGCACUGCGUUUAUUUAUCGCAUCUCAUUCCCACAACAAAACAUAAGGAGGGCCAUUCAGUCAAGCCAUUCAUAACACAAAUCAUACUUCAUGAUGUUGUUCUUUUCCUAAAUUAUGUAUGUUAAUUAAAGGGUCCAAACCC